AACGCUAGCUACAGGCUUAACACAUGCAAGUCGAGGGGUAGCAGGGUAGCAAUACCGCUGACGACCGGCGCACGGGUGAGUAACACGUAUCCAACCUUCCCAUAACUCUGGGAUAGCCUUUCGAAAGAAAGAUUAAUACCGGAUGGUACUUUUUCAAGGCAUCUUGAGAAAGUUAAAGAUUUAUUGGUUAUGGAUGGGGAUGCGUUCCAUUAGAUAGUUGGUGAGGUAACGGCUCACCAAGUCUACGAUGGAUAGGGGUUCUGAGAGGAAGGUCCCCCACAUUGGAACUGAGACACGGUCCAAACUCCUACGGGAGGCAGCAGUGAGGAAUAUUGGUCAAUGGGCGAGAGCCUGAACCAGCCAAGUAGCGUGAAGGAUGAAGGUCCUAUGGAUUGUAAACUUCUUUUAUAGUAGGAUAAAGUGAUCCACGUGUGGAUUUUUGUAUGUAUACUAUGAAUAAGGAUCGGCUAACUCCGUGCCAGCAGCCGCGGUAAUACGGAGGAUCCGAGCGUUAUCCGGAUUUAUUGGGUUUAAAGGGUGCGUAGGCGGAAUAAUAAGUCAGUUGUGAAAGUUUGCGGCUCAACCGUAAAAUUGCAGUUGAUACUGUUAUUCUUGAGUGUACAUAAGGUAGGCGGAAUUCGUGGUGUAGCGGUGAAAUGCUUAGAUAUCACGAAGAACUCCGAUUG
rnacentral:rRNA from 1 species